UACGAAGGGGGCUAGCGUUGUUCGGAAUUACUGGGCGUAAAGCGCGCGCAGGCGGUCUUCCAAGUCAGUGGUGAAAGCCCGGAGCUCAACUCCGGAACUGCCAUUGAAACUGUUAGACUUGAGGACGAGAGAGGUGAGUGGAAUUCCCGGUGUAGCAGUGAAAUGCGUAGAGAUCGGGAGGAACAUCAGUUGCGAAGGCGGCUCUCUGGACCAGCACUGACACUGAGGCACGAAAGCGUGGGGAGCAAACAGG
rnacentral:rRNA from 1 species